AGUGAACGCUGGCGGUAGGCCUAACACAUGCAAGUCGAACGGCAGCACAGUAAGAGCUUGCUCUUACGGGUGGCGAGUGGCGGACGGGUGAGUAAUACAUCGGAAUCUACUUUUUCGUGGGGGAUAACGUAGGGAAACUUACGCUAAUACCGCAUACGACCUACGGGUGAAAGCAGGGGAUCUUCGGACCUUGCGCGAUUGAAUGAGCCGAUGUCGGAUUAGCUAGUUGGCGGGGUAAAGGCCCACCAGGGCGACGAUCCGUAGCUGGUCUGAGAGGAUGAUCAGCCACACGGGAACUGUGACACGGUCCAGACUCCUACGGGAGGCAGCAGGGGGGAAUAUUGGAGAAUGGGCGCAAGCCUGAUCCAGCCAUACCGCGUGGGUGAAGAAGGCCUUCGGGUUGUAAAGCCGUUUUGUUGGGAAAGAAAAGCAGCAGGUUAAUACCCCGCUGUUCUGACGGUACCCAAAGAAUAAACACCGGCUAACUUCGUG
rnacentral:rRNA from 1 species